rnacentral:rRNA from 1 species
AACGAACGCUGGCGGCAGGCCUAACACAUGCAAGUCGAACGCCCUAGCAAUAGGGAGUGGCAGACGGGUGAGUAACGCGUGGGCACGUGCCUUUCGGUUCGGAAUAACUCAGGGAAACUUGAGCUAAUACCGGAUACGCCCUUCGGGGGGACGAUUUAUUGCCGAAAGAUCGGCCCGCGUCCGAUUAGCUAGUUGGUGAGUUAAAGGCUCACCAAGGGGACGAUCGGUAGCUGGUCUGAGAGGAUGAUCAGCCACACUGGGACUGAGACACGGCCCAGACUCCUACGGGAGGCAGCAGUGGGGAAUAUUGGGCAAUGGGCGCAAGCCUGAGCCAGCCAUGCCGCGUGAGUGAUGAAGGCCCUAGGGUUGUAAAGCUCUUUCGCCAGGGACGAUAAUGACGGUACCUGGAUAAGAAGCCCCGGCUAACUUCGUGCCAGCCGCCGCAGUAA